GUGCUCACUUCGGAAGCACAUAUACAAAAAUUGGAACAAUACAGAGAAGAUAAGCAUGGCCCUGAACAACGAUAACAUGCAAAUUUGUGAAGCGUUCCAUAUUUUU